rnacentral:lncRNA from 1 species
GCACAGUUCUUGCUGGUCUUCCUGGGUCAGCUCUGUCCUUUGUCUGGAAGAUUCCCCAUCAACAAUCCUGUCUUGUACUAUGGGAGAUGACAGGAGGGAGGAGACUUUCAGAUUCCCUAGAGAGAGGGGUCUUCUCAGACAGAAGAAGCAGAGCAGGGUCUAGGGAGGGAGAUCAAGGUUAGUGGGGACAGGAAUGGAAAGCAGACUCCUAGGCAAGGUCUCCUAGCUCAAGGAAACAGUGGUCCUAAUGUUGAGUGUACAACAUGAUAUCGCCCCCUGUAGUUCUCUGCGAGAACUGUAGUCUCAUGCCUAGGGCUACAGCAGGGGGGUUCAACACCACAAAUAUGACCUGCCCUGAUCCCUUCUGCACAGGUGGGACUCAGGGACCAUCAUUCUGCUCACUGGGCUCUGCAGAACUCCAUUUUCCAACUAGUGUAGGGUGAGACUAGGCAGGCUUCCAGGUUCUCCCUGUCAAGUUCAGGACUAAAGUUAAUGAAGUGUGCAUCCAGAGGAUGAGACCCCCUUGGAAGGAGCCUUUGCUUACAAAAUGACAGUGUAAAGAUGUCAUGGUUCGUUUCUCUUCAAACUCAAUCGAGAGGAUAGUAAUGGAAAUGGGGGUGCAUCUGUACUCACUGGCCCAUGUCUGGUGUCUCAAUCCCUUCUUCUCCUGGCCCACUGGAUACUGAGGGACCCCUUACUGAGCACAGGGAACAGUACAGUGACUCAAAUGGAAGUGCCAACUGCUCUUCCCUGUACACUGCUCCAGGUCUCUUUCUCUCACUGUGAUAAAAAACACUGUGAACAGAAUCAGUUCAGGAGAGCAGAGCAUGCAUUUCCUGUCCAGGUCUGGGUCAUAGUGUAGCCCUGAAGGAAGUCAAGGCAGAAAACAUGCUGGUUGCUGGCUCAUUUGCUUGCUCAUUCUCAGGCUCAUGCUUAGCUAGCUCUCUUAUACAACCAAGGUGAAUCUUCCUAGGGAUGGUGCUGCCCACAGUGCCCUGGGAUUCCUGCAUCACUUUAGACAAUCGCUCUCACACAUGUCCAUAGCCAGAGCUGAUAAGAAAAUUAUUCAGUGCAGGCUUUUCCCUGAGGUGACUUCUAUCUGUGUCAAGGUGAAGUUAAAACUAACAAGAACACUGUAUUAAACUGUUAAGCCCACCUUCUCAAAAGGGAGACAGCACAGGAAGUUCCCCAUCUCCAAAGGACUCUCUCUCUCUCUCUCUCUCUCUCUCUCUCUCUCUCUCUCUCACCAUAUAUUACAUGUGCUGGAGUCCACAUCCAGACACUCAGAGCCAGAAGCGCUCAAGGUAAUCUACAUUUAGUUGGUUUCACUCUUCCAAUCCCACCAGCACCAACCCACAAGACCCGCCACAGAAUCUUAAGACCUAGGUGAGUGGAACAUAAGUUCUAGAAGGAGGCAGGUUCGAACACCAGAUAUCUGGGCACCUUCCCUG